rnacentral:tRNA from 7 species
GGAGAGUAGUGCUCAUGGGAGCAAGCUGACUUGAAAUCAGUCGCCAUCGGAAACGGUGAGGGUUCGAUUCCUUUAUUCUCCGCCA